AGGGUCACACCUGUUCCCGUGCGAUCACCGAAGUUAAAUAACGUUGACCCUGGUCAAUAUCUAGAUGGGUGACCUCUGGUGAAUACUAGCUGCUGUAAG